rfam:Dipodomys ordii contig_73086, whole genome shotgun sequence.
GGGAAUGUGGUUUAGUGGUAGAGUGCUUGCCUGGCAUGCAUGAAGCCCUGGGUUCAAUUACUCAGUAACACCA